rnacentral:tRNA from 1 species
GGGGGUAUAGCUCAGAGGUAGAGCGAUCGAUUGCAGCUCGACAGGUCCCUGGUUCAAAUCCGGGUGCCCCCU